rnacentral:rRNA from 1 species
CACUAGUGAUUGGCGGACGGGUGAGUAAUAUAUAGUUAACCUGCCCUCGAGAAAGGAAUAACAGUUGGAAACGACUGCUAAUGCCCUAUAUGCCUUUAAGACAUAAGUCUGCAAGGGAAAUGCUUUUGUGCUCGAGGAUGGGACUGUACGGUAUCAGAUAGUUGGUGGGGUAAUGGCCUACCAAGUCAAUGACGCCUAACUGGUUUGAGAGGAUGAUCAGUCACACUGGAACUGAGACACGGUCCAGACUCCUACGGGAGGCAGCAGUGGGGAAUAUUGCACAAUGGAGGAAACUCUGAUGCAGCAACGCCGCGUGGAGGAUGACACAUUUCGGUGCGUAAACUCCUUUUAUAUAGGAAGAUAAUGACGGUACUAUAUGAAUAAGCGCCGGCUAACUCCGUGCCAGCAGCCGCGGUAAUACGGAGGGCGCAAGCGUUACUCGGAAUCACUGGGCGUAAAGAGCGUGUAGGCGGAUAGAUAAGUCAGAAGUGAAAUCCUAUGGCUCAACCAUAGAACUGCUUUUGAAACUGUUUAUCUAGAGUGUGGGAGAGGUAGAUGGAAUUUCUGGUGUAGGGGUAAAAUCCGUAGAGAUCAGAAGGAAUACCGAUUGCGAAGGCGAUCUACUGGAACAUAACUGACGCUGAGACGCGAAAGCGUGGGGAGCAAACAGGAUUAGAUACCCUGGUAGUCCACGCCCUAAACGAUGUACACUAGUUGUUGUGAGGCUUGACCUUGCAGUAAUGCAGUUAACACAUU